rnacentral:rRNA from 1 species
AGAGUUUGAUCCUGGCUCAGGAUGAACGCUAGCGGCAGGCUUAACACAUGCAAGUCGAGGGGCAUCGGGAGGGAAGCUUGCUUUCCUUGCCGGCGACCGGCGCACGGGUGAGUAACACGUAUGCAACCUGCCCUCUUCAGGGGGACAACCUUCCGAAAGGGAGGCUAAUCCCGCGUAUAUCGGUUUCGGGCAUCCGAGAUCGAGGAAAGAUUCAUCGGAAGAGGAUGGGCAUGCGGCGCAUUAGCUAGACGGCGGGGUAACGGCCCACCGUGGCGACGAUGCGUAGGGGUUCUGAGAGGAAGGUCCCCCACACUGGUACUGAGACACGGACCAGACUCCUACGGGAGGCAGCAGUGAGGAAUAUUGGUCAAUGGGAGAGAUCCUGAACCAGCCAAGCCGCGUGAGGGAAGACGGCCCUAUGGGUUGUAAACCUCUUUUGUCGGAGAACAAAACCCGGGACGAGUCCCGGACUGCGUGUAUCCGAAGAAAAAGCAUCGGCUAACUCCGUGCCAGCAGCCGCGGUAAUACGGAGGAUGCGAGCGUUAUCCGGAUUUAUUGGGUUUAAAGGGUGCGUAGGCGGUCCGUUAAGUCAGCGGUAAAAUUGCGGGGCUCAACCCCGUCGAGCCGUUGAAACUGGCAGACUUGAGUUGGCGAGAAGUACGCGGAAUGCGCGGUGUAGCGGUGAGAUGCAUAGAUAUCGCGCAGAACUCCGAUUGCGAAGGCAGUGUACCGGCGCCAGACUGACGCUGAGGCACGAAAGCGUGGGGAUCGAACAGGAUUAGAUACCCUGGUAGUCCACGCAGUAAACGAUGAAUGCUGGUUGUCCGGGGUCGAAAUGAGACCUGGGCGGCGAAGCGAAAGCGAUAAAGCAUUCCACCUGGGGAGUACGCCGGCAACGGUGAAACUCAAAGGAAUUGACGGGGGCCCGCACAAGCGGAGGAACAUGUGGUUUAAUUCGAUGAUACGCGAGGAACCUUACCCGGGCUCAAACGGGAGUGGAAUGGUCCAGAGACGGUUCAGCCUACGGGCCGCUUCCGAGGUGCUGCAUGGUUGUCGUCAGCUCGUGCCGUGAGGUGUCGGCUUAAGUGCCAUAACGAGCGCAACCCCCGCCGGCAGUUGCUAACGGGCAAUGCCGAGGACUCUGCCGGGACUGCCGCCGCAAGGCGUGAGGAAGGCGGGGAUGACGUCAAAUCAGCACGGCCCUUACGUCCGGGGCGACACACGUGUUACAAUGGGCGGUACAGCGGGAAGCCAGGCGGCGACGCCGAGCGGAACCCGAAAGCCGUUCUCAGUUCGGAUCGGAGUCUGCAACCCGACUCCGUGAAGCUGGAUUCGCUAGUAAUCGCGCAUCAGCCAUGGCGCGGUGAAUACGUUCCCGGGCCUUGCACACACCGCCCGUCA